UCGAGAAUAAUUCACAAUGGGGCAACCCUGAUGGUGCAACGCCGCGUGGAGGAUGACGGUCUUCGGAUUGUAAACUCCUGUCAUCUGGGAGUAAGGCAUGGUUGUGAAUAGCAAACAUGAUUGAUAGUACCAGAAGAGGAAGGGACGGCUAACUUCGUGCCAGCAGCCGCGGUAAUACGAAGGUCCCAAGCGUUGUUCGGAAUCACUGGGCGUAAAGGGAGCGUAGGCGGCGUGGUAAGUCAGUUGUGAAAUCCCGGGGCUCAACCCCGGAACGGCAUCCGAUACUGCCAUGCUAGAGGAUUGGAGAGGUAGCUGGAAUUCUUGGUGUAGCAGUGAAAUGCGUAGAGAUCAAGAGGAACACUCGUGGCGAAAGCGAGCUACUGGACAAUUCCUGACGCUGAGGCUCGAAGGCUAGGGUAGCGAAAG
rnacentral:rRNA from 1 species